rnacentral:tRNA from 1 species
GCCCUAAUAGCUUAGAAACAAAGCACCGGCUUUGUAAGCCGGAGAUUGUAGAUUAAAUUUCUUCUUAGCGCU